rnacentral:rRNA from 1 species
GCUAACUACGGGCCAGCAGCCGCGGUAAUACGUAGGGUGCAAGCGUUAAUCGGAAUUACUGGGCGUAAAGGGUGCGCAGGCGGUUUUGUAAGUCAGAUGUGAAAUCCCCGGGCUUAACCUGGGAAUUGCGUUUGAAACUAUAAGACUAGAGUGCAAAAGAGGGGAGUGGAAUUCCAUGUGUAGCAGUGAAAUGCGUAGAGAUGUGGAGGAACACCGAUGGCGAAGGCAGCUCCCUGGAUUGACACUGACGCUCAUGCACGAAAGCGUGGGGAGCAAACAGGAUUAGAUACCCUUGUAGUC